rnacentral:lncRNA from 1 species
CAUCUCUUUCUCCUUUUGAAAUCAAAAGCCAGCGCCACCCCUUCUCCCCUCAUCACAGUUCUCUCCCGUUUUUUUUCCAGCCCUCACUGUCUCCCUCGCCCCUCUCUCGGCCACGCCUCUAUUUUCGGUUGAAAAUCAGAGGGACCUUCCCGAUUCCCACAAAUCUUCCCCUCUCAGCCGUUUCUCCUUCAACCAAUUAGCAGCAGCCCUUCUUCGGCCGGCCAGCACCAGACCAUCCUCACUCCGGACCAUCGGUCUCUCCUCCACCACAGAGCAGUCCCCAUCAUCUCCUCAGACCACCACGGAUCUGCCCCCCAGUAGCAACCUCGCCGCCACCGAUCUGUCCAUUCCUCCGCCUCAACGCCGCCAGCAACCUCGCCCAUCUCCGCAACAGCUCCAGUGGCCGCGGGCUGCAGAAGACAAAGCCAUAGCAAACCGACCCACCUGAAACAGAAAAGGGAAGAGGCAGAGAAACAGAGUGGAUCCAAAAAACCGAAUCAGAUUUCAAAGACAAAAUGAAAUAAAAAAACUAAAAUCAACUGUUUGUUGUGGCUUUGGUUAUUUUUUUCAGGUCAUCGCCGGUAGAAAAACGAAGAGGGGAGGAAGCCACUCAACCCCCUGCUCCACGAUUUUUUUUUGGGCGGCGCGUGAAACCACGCGCCGCCAGUGGCGGCGGUGCGUGAGAUCCACGCGCCGCCCCUGUUCAGAUGGCACCAAGGCUGUGCAGCACUGUUCCUGAGGAUUUCCUUUUUUCCUUUUUGUAAUUUCUAGAUGCUGUGUGUAUUUAAAUAUUAUUGUAUUUGAUUUGUUUUGAAUUUUUGUUAUUUGUUUUAUUGUAUAAAUGUGAUGUAAAAUAAAAAAGAAAAGAGAAGAAAAAAAAUAAAUAAUAAAAAGAAAGUUGUGUGUUUGUUUGUUUUUUUAUAUUUUUUUUUAUUUAUGUUAUUAAAAAAUAAAAAAGGAAAAAAAGAAUUAAUUGUUAAUUUAAAUAUGGUUAAAUAUCUUAAGGACAAAUAAAAUCAAGUUGUAUUUUCCAUGAAAAUGUAAGAACAAGUUUUUUACAUAUAUUCGAGGAUUUAAUAACUGAUUUAUUCAAGCCUUAGAAUUUAAUUAAUAUUUUAAAUUUUCAAAUUACAUUAGAAUACAAAGCAGCUUACCUCAGGUAGGGUGUGUUAGGGGUGUUAAUACCUUCCCUAACCACAACCAGUGCCUUACCCGCGAUUUCUGACAAGACUAGUACAUCAGGUUUUCUAGUAGCCCUCAAUGAAUUACUAGGUGGCGACUCCAACGAACGAAUUCAAAGCAAACGCAACAUACGAGAAAAAUCGCCAGCCGAUGCCGCACGCCGGAUGUUUUUGGGGUGCGACAGGAUGGCGACUCCACUGGGGACAGGUAUUGUUUUCAACUUUAUCGGACUAAGCUUGGUGUUUUGAUGUGUUCAAUUUUUUUUUUGUGCUUUGUUUUAUUUAUUUGUGUUUUAUUCAUGCAUUGUAUAUAUUUCUCUUAUGCAUCACAAGUUUUAAUUUUUAAAAGCACACACCAGCUUUAGGUUAGGUGGGGGACUAGUAGCUUACCUUACGACUUGAGUCAAGGUUUAAGUUUGUGUAAACCCCAACUCUUUGUUGAGUGCUUAGACUGGUAAUAGUUGGACACGUGCCAACCAAUUACCUACUGGGCCCCUAUAUUGCCUUUACGAAGGCGAUCACUGGGACAACAAGAGACCCUUUUAGAGACCAAGUAGCAAACCUACCCUGUCUCACGUAAAAUGAAUAGAGCCUGUCUUAGGAUGUAUGCUAUUGUUUUGCAUCGAGCAAACCCUUCUUGAAGCAUCUUGAACUCAAGACUUGUGGGUGACACAUGCCAUCUCCGAAAAUUUUCAUUGUAGAGUUUGGGCAAAAAUCACGAUUCUUGUCCAUCAUACAAGAGUUACGACCAUAUUGUCACCCUCGAAGGGUGAGUUCGUCAUAUAGAUUACAUAUUCAUACAUUUAUCAUGCAUGUACCGGGUUGAAAAGUAGGUUCCCCCGCACAAGCUGUGCUGCAAGUGAUUGAAGAAAGGAUGGAAGUGAAGAAAGAUGUCAGAUAGAGGCUCAUUAUCAGAUUGAGUUUGAGAGCAUCAAAGGUGAAGUAGCUAGACUCAGAUCUGCUCGAACAAGUGUUGAGCAUCAAAUGGAAAGAGAAUGUCUGCACAGUCUUCUGUGGGAACACUGCUUGUCCACGUCCAAUUGAAGCUGCCUCUCCUUUUCAGUCAUGAACAACAGCAACAAUGCCUUCAGUCAUCAACUAAUGACAACUCUAGUUCUUGUCCAGUUGCACUGUUAAGUGUUCAUCGCCUCCACAUCAUCUAAUGGAACCAAACCACUACUAGCCUCCUGUACAUGGUGCAUUAGUCUGCUUUGAAGUUACCCCAAUUAUGAGCUCAAUUCCAGUUCAGCAGCACAAGAUGUUGGUCUGAAAAACCAUGAUCAGACACUGAACUUCUACGUGGUAGAGCUCUCUCUGUAGAGAUUUAUUUGUGGAUCUGCCAAUGGGAAAUGGAAAAGGGGAUGUAUUAAUUUCAUAUGCUUUGAAACUUUUUCCCACCAGUGGAAUGAGCAAAACAUUGUACUAGGCAGAGGAGUCAGGCCUGGUUUGAAAAUAUGAGUAGUCGUCAAACACCAACGUGUCAAAGCUCUCUCUACAGAAAUCUGUUUAUGAUGCUGCAAGGUGAGAGUGCAAGAGAGGAUUUACUAAUUGCAUAUGCUACAAAUAUUUCUCUCAUCAGUUUCAGCACGAAGACAUCUUAGUAGGUUGAAGAGCCAGACCUGGUCUGAAAAAUAUGAGCAAACAUCAAACUUCAACGUAGCAGAGCUCCCUCAUCAGUAAUCUAUUUGUGGAUCCGCAAGUAGGAAAUCCAAGAAGGAAUACAGUAGUUUCAGAUCAUCUAUGAUUUUCCUCCAACAGUGUCAGUUUUUUAAAAAACACGCAAAAGUAGAGAGAAGAGACAUGCCUAGACUGAAAAAACAUGAAGAAGACUGAAACUUCAACAGAGCAGAACUCCCUCUAUUGGUGCUUGUUUGCUGCACCGUUCGAGAGGAAUCGAAGAAGAAAUAGAGGAGAUUCAUGUUCAUCGUUUUCUCCCAUAGAAGAGAUAAGGCAUGAUUCCACGUGUUGGUAGUGGCGAUACUACAAGUUUUGGGCGCUGCCAAGAUUACCAAGCUGUUGGAAAGUUUUCCAACAAUCCUCAACCAACCACAACAACAUUGGAAGAUUGAAAUGAUGUUGUGAGGAUUUGCCGAAGAAUUGAACAAGCUAUGAAGAGAGGAAAGAUUGAAGGAUCUGCCAUGGAUUCCAGAACAAUGAUGAGAGGUGAAUCAGGAGAUGACUUUGACGGUGUGAACCCUUAAUUAUGUGGUAUAGCCAGGUCUCACGGUAGCAUCAAUUGCUCAAAUGUCUUUGCCAAGAUGGGACAUUCCUCUGCCAUUUAAGUUUGUCGACCAGCAUCUGCCAGAUUCCAGAAUUUUGCUUGACUCCGACAAAUCCCAUGCAACCACCAAUUUCUAGGUGGUAUAAUCCAGAUAAGAGAUGUGAUGUCAUGGUGGGGUCCUCAACCAUUUCAAGUGAACAUUUAAGAAUUGCAAGAAUUGAGUCUGAAAGUUGGUGAGCAAGAGACAAGUGGAGUCGUGAAGGAGGGUGUCAUUGGCUAUAUUGUCCCCGAACAUCUUCAGAAUGACAUGUUGAUCGAAAGUGCUUGGCAAAACGAAAUAUUGCCAGAAAAGCUGAUUCAAGAAUGGUGAUGAAAGUCAAUCAUAUUGUUUUGGAAUUCUGCAUUUUGUUUUGGGAUCACAUCUCAUCCUUCAACGAAACAUGCCUUGCUUUUGUCUCUUUGUUGUUUUGAAAUCAACAGAUGUUUACAUUUUAUUCUGAAAAUAUUUUGAUCAAACUCCAACAUGCGAUAAAGGUUAAUCAAUCCGGAAGAUUAAAAGUGUUUUGAUUGCAGAAAUGACUCGAUGCUUUGAAAAUGACAUGAGGUGACUAAAUAAUUUUGAACUCAUACCUCCUGAAACUGAGCCACACAUCAUAUAGCUAAGUUUUAGCAGUAUGCAUAAUGACAUGUAGUGGAUUUGGUAGUUAUGGACCCGUGAAUCAUUGACUCUUACAAGUCCAAAUCAUUACACUGAAUGAGGUCAAAAUUUAUCGGUUCUAACCGACCUUGCUUGAAAUGAGAAAAGGCCAUCUUUGAUAUCCCUUCACUUUCUAAAGAUUAUAUCCCUUGUAGUCCCAUUUUGAGCUGUAUAGAAUAUUCUUUUCAUAAAAAACCCUGACUAGGAUCACACCCCACACUGGGGGCAAAUGGGAGAUAUUUUGAAGACAUUGCUGUAAUUAAUGGAAAGGGAAGGCUUAGAACAAAAGUCCAAUGAUUGAGAGAGCUAAAAGAAAACACAUAGACUGGGGGCAUAAGAAAAUUUGAGGAAGGCUAUGAGUUGAAUUGCCUUCACUUAAAGACAAGUUAAAAAGAAAUGGAAAAAGAACGCCUAUCAAUUCUAAGAGAGGCAAGGCAGUUUUCAAUUGAGAAAAGACAAUAAAUGCCAAAAGUCAACACUAGAAAAAUCGAUGUUUCAUAUCUUUUGGUGUGUCUAGGAUAAAGCCUCUUAUGUCUUCAAAAAUUUAUUUAGAUUGGUUAUUCAUCAAAGAAAAAGUUGGAUUUGCAUUAUGACUUAUGUUAAUAGAAGUCUGAUCUUUGAGGUUAACAAGGUUAUGUGUUUCUCUACAAUGACAAGAAAGAAAAGAGUGAUGAAUAAUUGAUGUUGAUCCUAGGUUUGAAACCCUCAAACACCUUUUGAGCCUUUGAAAUUCUUUUUUUUUCAUAGCCAUGAACCAUAGCCUGCAUUACGUGCUUUUAAAAGCCCUUUUUAAUCAAGCAAGCAAUCUGAACCGAUAAAUGGCGAUCUCAAAACUUGAAGAGUUUUUCCAUAAGAGUCGUGGCUUCAUGAAUUAAGCUACUGGUUAUUAUGCAUGCUGAUAAAAUAAUAUGCUAGAAAAGAAACAACCUUUCUUGAUAAUCAAGCCUGAGCCUGUUUUUGAAAUUCACAAAUUCACCUCAUCACAGACCAUCAAAAAGAUAUACCCAAAAUCAGAGUUUAAAGUGGACACAAAGAACCAUGAAAAAGUCAUUUUAAAUCUUACAACGGGUCAUUUCUGUUUUCAAAAUACAAGACAAUCAAAGGACUGCAUUGAAUAGUGUGUUGGGUCUUUGACCAAAGAAGUUUGAAUUUCAAAAAAAUAAUUUCAAAAACAGACAUCUCUUGAUUUCAUUUCAACAAUUAGACUUGAAUAGACAUGAUCGUUGAAAUGUGAGAUUUGAUUCCAGAACAAGAAAGAUUUUCAAACAAGAACAUCAUUGAGUUUGCAAAAUCCUUGACAAAAAUGACAUCAACAUUUCUCGACACUCCUUGAAACGUUGACCACCUGGGGGCAAUACAGUGGCCCUUAGAAGAAAAACAAACAACAUUCUGAUCAGCUGGGGCAAAGAAAGAAUCAGAUGAUGAGUCAUCAAAGUCAUGAAAGUUAUGUUUAGCAUCUGACAAUGACAAAGGAAACCUUUUGAGUAUAAACUGAUGAACGAGCAUUCAUAUCAUUGCUAGGGCCAAUGUUGUUCAAAGACAAUCCAUGAUCUAGUGCACUUCAGCAGCAAUUGAUGAGCAACGCUGCACUAGAAAGAUGUUUUCAUAUCUUCAUCUUGGGUUACCCUGUAAAACAUGGCUAUGACUCCUGACAGAUGUUAUUGGGUGAGUGCAUUUGAAUGAACAUCGAACAUAUACAUACCACUAAGAUUGACUAUGGGACCAUCUAUUCUGAAGCUCAAAUGCACACUUCACCGCAUGAAUAUGGGUGAUAACAUGAACAUCAUUGAUGAUGCCAAAGCAGUUAUUUUCACGAUCUAAUUUGACAAGCUAAGAGGAAUCCAUAGAGAAAUACAUCGCGCUUACAAUGAUGAGCUGUUUACUGCAAAGCAUGAGAUCCAUGUCUGGAUGACUUGGCAGUUCCAUGAAGGCUGGUGACCAUACAUACUUGAAUGGUGUUUCAACCGAAGGCAAGUUCAUGACUGAUUAACAAUCUUGAUGGGUGUUGGCAUGAUGCACACAAUCAAUCAAAGGAUAAUUCUCAGAAGAAGCCAGAGAGAAAAUCCUUCAUGAUGAAUCAAGCAGUACCACACUUGGGGGCAGGGUCAAGCUUGAUGAACGAUGCAAGCAGUAAUUGUCGAAGACAGCCCGGGAUGGGCACUGCAUUUACAGCUGAGUGGAUGGCUAGCACAUGAAUGAGCCAAUGCAUCGAAAGAACAAAGAAAGCUUUGGGAUGCAAACAAGGAAACCCUAUGACGAUGGAGCAUCAAGGAGGGGGGGACCUAUAUUUCGAAUCAGGUAAGGAUGCAUGCAUAUCAUCUAACCUCAAAAAAAAAAAAAACCAUUUGCACAUAUUUUUGAAUUGUUACAGGAAAAUCCUUAAUGAGGUCCAGCAAGAUGGUGGAAAGAGAAAGAAGCAUUGUGGUGAUGAUAAUAAAGAAUCGGUUUUGAUCAUGGAAUAAAAGGACGAUGGGAUGAACCUUACCAUUAGGAAAAUCCCAAAGAAAUGAAAAGAUCAACCUUGCAAUUGGGAAGCCUCGAGUUUUCAACCAUUGCAGUAAGGAAACACCGAGUUUUCAAAUCCUAUGAUCGGGAAUUAUCAGGAAGCACCAAGUUUUCCAGCUAUUUUCCUGCCAUCCCCUCAGGACUUCACCAGGUAAGUCCUAUUUUUCACACUUGUCAUAUCACAUUUUUUCCAUCUGGGUAGGUCGCCCAUCAUAAUAAGACCGUUCUUCAUAUUUUUUCCAUCCGGGUAGGUCACCCAUUACAAUGAGACCGCACUUCAUAUUCUUUCUAUUUGGGUAGGUCGCCCAUCACAACGAGACCACUUCAUCAUAUUUUUUCCAUCUGGGUAGGUCACCCAUUACAAUGAGACCACAUUUAAUAUUUUUUCCAUUUUUGGGUAGGUCACCCAUUACAAUGAGACCGCACUUCACAUUCUUUCUAUUUGGGUAGGUCGCCCAUCACAACGAGACCACUUCAUCAUAUUUUUUCCAUCUGGGUAGGUCACCCAUUACAAUGAGACCACACUUCACAUUUUUUCCAUCUUGGGUAGGUCACCCAUCACAAUGAGACCAUCAUCUUUUCUAGGUAGGUCACCCAAAGAAUGAGACCAUUCUCCAUCUUUUUUUUUACCUGGGUAGGUCACCCAUAAGAAUGAGGCCAUUCCUUCCCCUGGGUAGGUCACCCAAAGAAUGAGACCACUCUUCCUUUUUCCACUUGGGUAGGUCACCCAUCACAAUGAGACCAUCAUCUUUUCUGGGUAGGUCACCCAAAGAAUGAGACCAUUCUCCAUUCUUUUUUUACCUGGGUAGGUCACCCAAAGAAUGAGGCCAUUCUUCCCCCUGGGUAGGUCACCCAAAGAAUGAGACCACUCUUCCUCCUUUCCACAUGGGUAGGUCACCCAUUAUAAUGAGACCACUUUUUACACAUUCUUUUGUUCCAGUUGAAUGAGGUCGCCAGAUGGGAUCUCAUGUAGCUUUGGUUAAAGGGAAUCUCCAUAUGGGAUUUCAGGUUGACCGAGUUACACACAUUCUUUGGUUUUGGUUAAAGGAGGUCGCCAGAUGGGAUCUCAGGAUAAUAAAAAAAAAAGAAAAAAAAAAGGAAGAUUGCUGAUGAAGUGGAUAUUGAGCAAACAGAAAGAUAAGUUUUUCUUUACAAAGCUUACUAUGCAAAACAUCGAGGAUUUUUGCUUCGUAAGCAUUGUAAAGAGGGGGCAUCUGUUGCUACCCAAUUUUUGACCCAUGUUUUUGAUAUAUUUUCAAAAAAUCCAAAAAUAGAGAAAAACAAAGAAAAUCCAAAAAAAUAUGUUUUUUAAUAUAUUUUCGUCAUUUUAGCAUUUUCAACGUCGUCUAAAAAAGAAUUUAAAUUUUUAAGGGUCUUUCGAACACGUUCGACUUUUCACCCGUCAUUUUUAAAAUCAUUGAUUUUCCGUAUUUGAGUCGACGUUGAUAUUGCUCAUUUUCAAAAAAAUACAAAAAAACAAGAAAAAUCAAAUUUUACAAAAAAAAGAAAAUUAAGGGACCAAUUUUGAGACCGAAACAAUAUUUUUGCCUAUGUAUAGGGAAUUUUGAAUUUUGGAAGGAGGGGCAACCUAAGAAUUUUUUUUCUCUUCAGCCGAAACUAGCCGCUCCCCCUGGCCCAAGACCAUUAUUUAAUCCCUCUCUUUCGGCUGAAAAUUAGGGACUUAGCCCCCACCCAUGGUCUUCUUUUCCUGGUUUCCCGCCGACAAUGGAGGCCCCUCCUUACAUUGAAAACUUCUAUUUCUUCUCAUCCCCAGCUUUGCAAAAGGGGGGGAAGAUUGGAGCCAUUUUCGUCGGGUCCCGAGAGCAGUGGGCAGAGAAACUGAAACUCCUUUCCCCCCAUUUUUUUCUUCUCCUUUUCCAGCCGGCUCCCAGCCAACCAGACAGCCCCUCCAGCCGCCUCUCACUUGGCAAAGAGAGACUCUCCAAAACAAAACACACAGACCCGGCCGCUCAACCUUUUCUUCCCCCACACUGCACCUCCAAACAACGCAGCCCCUACCCUUUUUUUUACCCCGGCCAAACAACCCCCCAAAAACCCCCCUUGGUUUUGAAUGUUUUUUUCUCAACACCGGCCCCCAUCCUCUGCUUUUUUUUUUGUUUUUCUUUCAACACCGGAACCAUUUUCUUCUUCUCCAAACAGCCGCCGGUCAUCUCUUUCUCCUUUUGAAAUCAAAAGCCAGCGCCACCCCUUCUCCCCUCAUCACAGUUCUCUCCCGUUUUUUUCCAGCCCUCACUGUCUCCCUCGCCCCUCUCUCGGCCACGCCUCUAUUUUCGGUUGAAAAUCAGAGGGACCUUCCCGAUUCCCACAAAUCUUCCCCUCUCAGCCGUUUCUCCUUCAACCAAUUAGCAGCAGCCCUUCUUCGGCCGGCCAGCACCAGACCAUCCUCACUCCGGACCAUCGGUCUCUCCUCCACCACAGAGCAGUCCCCAUCAUCUCCUCAGACCACCACGGAUCUGGCCCCAGUCAGCACUGAAGGCAUCCCCUUC